UGUCUAUUGCCAGCAAGCUCUUCUAAGAUAGUCUUCAAGUCAUUCUGUAUUCUUUCAUGUAUAGUCCACUGACAUAGGAGGCGAAUGUAUACAUAAACUAUAGAGAAUUUAAUUGUGCAUAUUCAAUUUGUAGCUUUAUUCAUGUAAAUUAGUAGUUGAGACUCCAUGAUAAGUAUUUUCUUUACAGAAAUUUGUUUGAUUUAUUCUCAAUCAAGCCUUCAAUGUUGUAGUGUGAUAGAGUUCUUAACACAAUUUUAGAGGAGAUGGAACAUCUAUUGUGGUUCCUCUCCUAGAAUCAUAUUUGCUCUUAUUUGAUAGAUUGUAUUUGGGGAUGCAAUUUCACGGGACAUUGGAAUGUGCUGCUUUUUGUGGUGUGUAAUGACAGUGUAUUUAUAUUCAAGGCCAAGGUCAAUAUGAUGUGUGAAGCUGCUGAGAAGAUUGUGGAACUAGCCACUUUGGAGAGGACAAAGGACAAAGGCUGCUGAGGAAUAGAGUUUCAGCUCAACAAGCAAGGAAAAAGGCAUAACAAAGAAGAGGAAAGGGCAUGCUUAAAAUUAAUUGGAAACAAAAGUCAAAAAACUUAGAGAUGAAGAAUUCAGAUUUCAAGGAUAGACUCAUCACUUUGCAGAGGGUGCAUGUGGAUAUGACAUGAAGUGAAGGAUGAAUCAUAAGACAUGCAUUAUUACUAAAAAAUUAUGGACAUUAAGCACUCCAAUGGAAAAUUUUAUAAAGAAUUUUGCAGGAGGCAUUGGUAUUAAGCGAAGUGCAGAAUGAUUGGUGGAAGUUAUGUAGAGUUUACCAUUCCUAUUCCAAAGACCAAUAAAGGUACUACAAAGUACAAAUAAGUUGUUAUACAUAGAGUGGUUGGAAUGAACAAUAUUUAGCAGCUUUCAGGAUAAACCACUCACAUUUGUUGUUAAAAAUAGUUAGUCUUACAGUUAAUACAAUUUCUUUUGAGUGUUUUCAGAUGUAGAAUUCAUAGGGUAUUCGAGCUACUAUUUCAGAUAACGAGAGGGAGAAGGAUAUGAAGUUUGAAUAUUUGUGAGUCUUUAUCACGCCUAAGGAAAUAAUUGAGCUGGAUUUUUUGUAGGUAUCAUACUUAUUUUUCUGUGUUUCGGUUUUUCUGUAAUGGUUUGAAGGAUUGAUAUGUUUUAAGCGCCUCCUUCCUCCAAGUAUAAAUAAUCAUUGAGAUGGUUAUG